CCUACGGGAGGCAGCAGUGGGGAAUAUUGCACAAUGGGGGAAACCCUGAUGCAGCGACGCCGCGUGAGUGAAGAAGUAAUUCGUUAUGUAAAGCUCUAUCAGCAGGGAAGAAAAUGACGGUACCUGAGUAAGAAGCCCCGGCUAACUACGUGCCAGCAGCCGCGGUAAUACGUAGGGGGCAAGCGUUAUCCGGAUUUACUGGGUGUAAAGGGAGCGUAGACGGCAGUGCAAGUCUGGAGUGAAAGGCGGGGGCUCAACCCCCGGACUGCUCUGGAAACUGUACGGCUGGAGUGCAGGAGAGGUAAGUGGAAUUCCUAGUGUAGCGGUGAAAUGCGUAGAUAUUAGGAGGAACACCAGUGGCGAAGGCAGCUUACUGGACUGAAACUGACGUUGAGGCACGAAAGCGUGGGGAGCGAACAGGAUUAGAUACCCGAGUAGUC
rnacentral:rRNA from 1 species